rnacentral:rRNA from 1 species
AUGGAGGAGAGGCCAACGGACAUGGCGCCGGUGCACGUGCUGGUGUUCCCCUGGCCGCUGCAGGGCCACAUCAACUCCAUGCUCCCCUUCGCCGCGGGCCUCCUCGGCGCCGGCGUCCACGUCACCUUCCUGCACACGGAGCACAACCUCCGCCGGGUCGACCGCGCCGCUUCGCCACGCCUCCGCUUCGCGUCCGUGCCGGACGGCCUCCCCGACGACCACCCGCGCUCGGUCGCCCACCUCGGCGAGAUCGGCAGGUCCCUGAGGCCGAGCGCCAGCGCCGCCUACCGUGCCCUGCUCGCCCCGCCGCUCUCCGCUAGAAGCCACGCCGACGGCGGGUUCCCGCCGGUGUCGUGCGUCGUGGCCGACGGCUUGCUGCCGUUCGCCAUCGACAUCGCCGAGGAGCUCGGCGUGCCGGCGCUCGCUUUCCGCACGGAGAGCGCGUGCAGCAUCUUGGCUUACCUCUCUGUGCCCAGGCUCGUGGAGCUCGGCGAGGUUCCGAUCCCUGUAGGCGCCGACCUCGACGAGCCGGUCCGUGGCGUUCCGGGGAUGGAGGGCUUCCUGCGGCGGCGAGAUCUUCCAAGUUCUUGCCGCGGCCACGGCGCCGAGGCCGACGAGCUCGACCCCAUGCUGCAGGCACUCGCCAAGUACACCGCUCACAGCUGCAAGGCUCGGGCGCUCAUAUUCAACACGACCGCCUCACUGGAGCGGUCGGCGCUCGCACACAUCGCGCCCCACAUGCGCGACGUCUCCGCCAUAGGCCCUCUCCACGUCAUCUCGGCCGCGCCGGCGUCGGCCACCAGCCUGUGGCGCGAGGACGACGGCUGUACGACGUGGCUCGAUGGGCACGCGGACCGGUCCGUCGUGUACGUGAGCUUGGGGAGCCUCGCAACCAUUUCGCGGGAGGAGUUCGCCGAGUUCCUUCCGGCCUCGUCAGCGCCCACUACGCGUUCAUGUGGGCGCUCCGGCCGGACAUGGUCGGGGCGAGCCAGAGCGCCGCUCUCCAGGAAGCCGUGGACGCGGCGGGCAAGGGCAAGGUGCGCGUCGUGGACUGGGCGCCGCAGCGAGACGUGCUGCGGCACCGCGCCGUGGGGUGCUUCCUAA